rnacentral:piRNA from 1 species
UGCCAAGACAAGGGAAAUGUUGAAAAG